rnacentral:rRNA from 1 species
AGAACGAACGCUGGCGGCAUGCCUAAUACAUGCAAGUCGAACGAGACCUUCGGGUCUAGUGGCGCACGGGUGCGUAACGCGUGGGAAUCUACCCUUGGGUUCGGAAUAACAGUUGGAAACGACUGCUAAUACCGGAUGAUGACGAAAGUCCAAAGAUUUAUCGCCCAAGGAUGAGCCCGCGUAGGAUUAGCUAGUUGGUGAGGUAAAGGCUCACCAAGGCUACGAUCCUUAGCUGGUCUGAGAGGAUGAUCAGCCACACUGGGACUGAGACACGGCCCAGACUCCUACGGGAGGCAGCAGUAGGGAAUAUUGGACAAUGGGGGCAACCUGAUCCAGCAAUGCCGCGUGAGUGAUGAAGGCCUUAGGUUGUAAAGCUCUUUACCCGAGAUGAAUAAUGACAGUAUCGGGAAGAAUAAGCUCCGGCUAACUCCGUGCCAGCAGCCGC